UAGGGAAUUUUCGUCAAUGGGCGCAAGCCUGAACGAGCAAUGCCGCGUGAGUGAGGAAGGUCUUCGGACUGUAAAGCUCUGUUGCCGGGGAAAAAGGGGAAAUGCAGGAAAUGGCAUUUCAUGGAUGGUACCCGGCCAGAAAGCCACGGCUAACUACGUGCCAGCAGCCGCGGUAAUACGUAGGUGGCGAGCGUUAUCCGGAAUGAUUGGGCGUAAAGGGUGCGCAGGCGGUCUGUUAAGUCUGAAGGCAAAGGGAUGAGCUCAACUCAUUUAUGAUUCAGAAACUGGCAGACUUGAGGACAGGAGAGGGCGGUGGAACUCCAUGUGUAGCGGUAAAAUGCGCAGAGAUAUGGAAGAACACCAGUGGCGAAGGCGGCCGCCUGGCCUGUGACUGACGCUGAGGCACGAAAGCGUGGGGAGCAAAUAGG
rnacentral:rRNA from 1 species